GCCGAGAUGGUGAAAUUUGGUAUACACGCUACUUUGAGGGGGUAGUCCGGUUAAUGGUUGCGGGUUCAAAUCCCGUUCUCGGCA
rnacentral:tRNA from 1 species